UGAGCACUCACUAUGUACCAGCACUGAAUGACGUUGGUGAUAAAAGAGAAAAAAAGAACCUAUGGCCCCUGACUUUUACAAGACCUCAAGGAUUGGUGAACAACUGUUCCAUGCUCAGCUGUCCUAUGCUGAAUGUCCUGGGAGCUAGGGGAUUUGAGGAAGCAGAAAUUCCGGACCACAGAGAUACUGAUUAUAUGUCACAGGCUCUUACUUCCUCCGAUGAGGGACUGAACCCGAGCCCCCUGCAGUGGAAGGGCUGAGUCUUAACCACUGGACCACCAGGGAAGUCACAAUGGUGGUUUUCACGUUGAAUCCUGUGUCGCUUUCAAAGAGAUGGUAUGAAACACAAUACAUCAGGAGAAAGACAUGUGCUGAUGAAUUAUGGUCCUGAAUGUCAUCAUUCCGGUGAUGUAUAUUAGAAUAGGGA